rnacentral:lncRNA from 1 species
GUGAUGAGUGUACAGAAAAUUGAACAUUGUCUCUUAAGUACUUGCAACUGGAAGCAACACACAGUUCUAGCCUUCGGAUCAAGACUAGGCACAUGACUUCACCUAAUUGCCUGGGAUCAGGAAAAAGUGAUCGUCUCUACGUCUAGGAAGGAAAGACAACUGGAAAUAUUGACGUUCCUGUGGGCCGGCCGGCAGCAGUCUCCUUACUGCAAGGGUGUGAGCGGACAGUAACGACGUCUUCUCUGUCCUCAGAAGAAAUUUCUCUCCGGUGGCCACCCACUUGGGCACUAGGACUUCAGGCCAGGCUGAUAAGAAUUGGAAUAUGGAGGACAAAAUCCUUCGGCACAGCAACAGGGCUUUCUCCAGGUUCUCUGGCUCAAUUCCGCCCAACCGGUAAUCGACAUCUCCAAGUCACAAAAUGUCGGCUUGGAGCUGCUGUCAUUGGAGAGAAGGGAAAUUGGCACUUGGUCCUUGUUCAUGGCAGUGAUCCUGAAAGGUUUCCUGUUUAACAUUUUAUUUGCAUUAAAAAAAAAUAGCCAGCAUCUCAGAACUGGAGCGGAUUCAGUAUGUGUGCGUAUGCUGUUCACGGGCUGAGGGUGGGGUGGUGGAAUCUUCUGUAGCACGCCGGAAUCAACUCGUCGACAGCAGCCAUUUUCAACAUGAUCCUUGUGUUUGCUUGGCAAAAUCUAGGAUUGGAAAAACAAAAGGUUUUCCUGCCAGAUUCCAU